rnacentral:lncRNA from 1 species
UUGGCGCUGCCCAAUAUCUAAAGAAACGAAAACAAAUGGAAAACUAAGGAUUUCCAGUUCCUAUAAAACAGGAAGAAUUGUUUCGGGUGCAGAUAUCAACUGCCACAAUUUUCUGGGAAAGUUUUUUUUUUUGGAACCCUGAUCAGAACAGAAUUAUACUUAAAAAGAAAAAGUGUCGACAGAUAAUAAUGACUUCAAAUACCGUGAUAGAUUGAAAUUCCGACUUCCUUUUAUGGAUCUCAAAUCAACCUGAAUUUUUGGGCUGUCUGAGUGAAUUAUAAGGAAACGGAGCCAAAAGGUGAUUAAAUUGCUUUUGCAGGACCUGAUUACAAAUGUAAAAGCAAGUGCGGGGUUGGAUUUCGGAUUCAAGGUUAAACAUACAAGGCGUGUUUGGUUCGCUUCAUAAACGUGUUUUCGGGACCCGGCUGAUGAAAUUGUGAAAAUGAGAAAUGUUAAAUUCGAAAGAGAAGCUUAUGGUUUUGUAUUGUCCUUAAUUACUCCUUUAAUAUGUUGGCCCUAUUGUUUGUGUCGGUUUUCCAUCAAAGGAAAUUGUUAAUAUCAAAUUCCUAUUUCUAUGGGUUCAAUAUUUUUCCUUUUUUCAAAUCAAUAUGAAUAAUGUUUUUCUUUUUUACUUAAAAUUGCUUUAAAAUUUAAGUUUGAUAAUUAAAAGUAACAAAUCUAACAUUUUACCUACAAAUUACAUAAUUGUUAAUUUAAUUUUUUCUCUCCCAAUGAAUAAGAAAGAGAAUUUCAUAUAUCAAAUUCUUUCAUAGCAAUUUUUAGUGCUUUUUAGGUAACUACAAUGAAACAUGACAAAGUUUUAAAAUAAAACCUAAUAUAAAUACAAAAUAAAACAAAAAAAUAUACGAAAUUAAAUUGAUUUAAAAUUUUAAUAAAAAAUAUGUAUGAGAUUGAUAAAAUAAAAAAAUAUAUUUUGAGUAUUUUGUACACUGAUGUAAAUUUAAUAUGAUAAUUUUUAUAUUUUAAAUAUAUUUGAUACUAUAUAAAUACAAUAUAAAUACAUCAAUAACAUAUUUUUUUAAUUAAGAAUUUUAAACAUAAUUUAUCAUAAAGGUUGAACUUAAAUAUCAUUUUAAAAUUUAUAAAUUCAUUUGAUAUUUAUUAACUUCGAUGAAUGAAAGCACAGAAAUAUGAUACAUUAACAUCAAAUUAUUAAAANNNNNNNNNNNNNNNNNNNNNNNNNNNNNNNNNNNNNNNNNNNNNNNNNNNNNNNNNNNNNNNNNNNNNNNNNNNNNNNNNNNNNNNNNNNNNNNNNNNNNNNNNNNNNNNNNNNNNNNNNNNNNNNNNNNNNNNNNNNNNNNNNNNNNNNNNNNNNNNNNNNNNNNNNNNNNNNNNNNNNNNNNNNNNNNNNNNNNNNNNNNNNNNNNNNNNNNNNNNNNNNNNNNNNNNNNNNNNNNNNNNNNNNNNNNNNNNNNNNNNNNNNNNNNNNNNNNNNNNNNNNNNNNNNNNNNNNNNNNNNNNNNNNNNNNNNNNNNNNNNNNNNNNNNNNNNNNNNNNNNNNNNNNNNNNNNNNNNNNNNNNNNNNNNNNNNNNNNNNNNNNNNNNNNNNNNNNNNNNNNNNNNNNNNNNNNNNNNNNNNNNNNNNNNNNNNNNNNNNNNNNNNNNNNNNNNNNNNNNNNNNNNNNNNNNNNNNNNNNNNNNNNNNNNNNNNNNNNNNNNNNNNNNNNNNNNNNNNNNNNNNNNNNNNNNNNNNNNNNNNNNNNNNNNNNNNNNNNNNNNNNNNNNNNNNNNNNNNNNNNNNNNNNNNNNNNNNNNNNNNNNNNNNNNNNNNNNNNNNNNNNNNNNNNNNNNNNNNNNNNNNNNNNNNNNNNNNNNNNNNNNNNNNNNNNNNNNNNNNNNNNNNNNNNNNNNNNNNNNNNNNNNNNNNNNNNNNNNNNNNNNNNNNNNNNNNNNNNNNNNNNNNNNNNNNNNNNNNNNNNNNNNNNNNNNNNNNNNNNNNNNNNNNNNNNNNNNNNNNNNNNNNNNNNNNNNNNNNNNNNNNNNNNNNNNNNNNNNNNNNNNNNNNNNNNNNNNNNNNNNNNNNNNNNNNNNNNNNNNNNNNNNNNNNNNNNNNNNNNNNNNNNNNNNNNNNNNNNNNNNNNNNNNNNNNNNNNNNNNNNNNNNNNNNNNNNNNNNNNNNNNNNNNNNNNNNNNNNNNNNNNNNNNNNNNNNNNNNNNNAUUUAUUUAUUAUUAUUAUGUAUUAAUAUAUGUAUAUCUUUAUUUAUUUAUUUAUUUAUUAUUUUCUUUUUUUAUUUAUUUUUUUCUGUUAAUAUUUAUAUGUAUUUAUUUAUUAGUUAUAUUUAUUAUUAUUAUUAUAUUUUUUUUAUCUUGUAAUAUUUUUUUGGAUUUAUCUUAUUUUAUUUUUUUAAUUAUCUGUUAAUUUUAUUUUAUUCAUGUAUCUGAUUUUUUUUAUUAUCUGAUUAUUAUAUUAUUUUUUUAGGACUGUGAUUGAAAGUUAAAGAAUCCCACUAUGAAUGAAAAUUCAAUCAGAAGAGUCCAGAUUGGAUUCAAAGAUUAAAUUCCCAUCCAAUGAGGAAUUGGGAUUGAUCAGAAACUCCUGAUCAAUCCCUAUAAAAGGGACCUCUUGGAACAGAUGCAACACACAGAAAAAAACAGUGAGCAAAGCUACUGAUUUGAGAGAAAAAGAGGUAUAUAAGAAGCUAAGAAAAGGUUUAGGAGUGUUCUGGGAGCUAACAAAAAUUUUUUGACGAUUUUUGGCGAUUUUUUUUCUGGGAAUUUUUGGAAAAUUUCAGAUUUCGGUUGAAUUUUUCGAUGAAGUUUGAAUUUUCUGGCAAAGAUUCCGGUCAAAUUUGAAGUUUUCGAUGAGCUGCCCAGUUUUCGGUGAAGAAUUCCAAAAAUCGACAACCUUCCGAUCAACUUCCGGUGAACUUCCGAUGAAAUUUUUCAGAUUCUGAUGAAAUUUUUUAGAAUCUGACGAACAUUCAACCGGAGUUCUUCAGCCUUUUAGAGAGAAGGAAGAGGAAAAAAGAAUAAGAGAGAGAAAAGAGAGGAGUGUUCUGUCGAAAAACAGAGGAAAGGACCUUAUAUACCCUUCCAAAACGAUGUCAUUUUGGCCUUAAGUAAUCCAGAGGAUCCGCGCGUUUUGCCAAGAUCCGACCCGACCCGAGCGUCGAUCCGCUAUCUGACCCGCGCGUAUCUGCCCCCUCCGAGCUGAGUCGAGCCGAGCUCCAAAGCCGCUUCUCCGAGCCGAUUUUUUCUUCCUUGAGCCAAGCCGAUAGCCGAGCAACUCCAGGUUUUUUUUUUUUUUGGAAUUUUUUUAUUUAUUUGUUUAUUUGUUUUAUUUAUUUAUUUAUUUAUUUAUUAGAUUAGAUUUAUUUAAAAUUUUUUAUCUUUAUUUUAUUUUUAUUUUUGUUUUACUUUUCUUUAUUUUUUUUAUCUUUAUUUAUUUUCACUUUUAUUUUGUUUUAUUUUCUUUAAAUAAAAAUCAAAAAAAUAUUUUUGGAGAAAAGUUGAAAGUAUCAAUUUUCCUUAAAAAUAAAAUUUCAAAAAAAGGGUUUUGAGGAAAAGUUGAAAGUAUCAAUUUUCUUUAAAAAUCAAAAUUUUCAAAAAAAUAUUUUUUUAGGAAAAGUUUAAAGUAUCAAUUUUUCUUAAAAUUAAAAUUUCAAAAAAAGGUUUUGAUGAAAAGUUGAAAGUAUCAAUUUUCCUUGAAAAUCAAAGUUUCUAAAAAACAUCUUUGAGGAAAAGUUGAAAGUAUCAAUUUUCUUUGAAAAUCAAAGUUUUUUCAAAAAAAAUAUUUUUGACGAAAAGUUGAAAGUAUCAAUUUUUCUUGAAAAUCAAAGUUUCCAAAAAAAAUAUAUAUAUUUUUGGGGAAAAGUUGAAAGUAUCAAUUUUCCCUACACAAGAAUAAUUAUCCUUUCCUUCUUUUCUAUUUUGAUUUUGAUUUUGAUUUUUUCCUUUAAUUAAUCUGACGACAGAGCCUCUACAAGUGAAACAGUAGUUUUUUUGCAUACUCUUGAGGUAAGGGAAUUUUCUCGAUUUUCUGCUAAAAGUAUUAGAGUUAAUUGAGAAUAAUUUCCAAUAAUUAAUUACUUGGUAAAAUUUUAAGGCUCAUUGGAUAACAUAAAUUUAAGCUGGUACCAUCUUUUGAUGGGCGUUGUGAGGGUGCUACAACCUUUCUCACACGUAACCGAACCCUGUUCUGGUUAGCAGAUCUGAAUCUAUUCUUUUAGGGACCCUUAAACUUAGGUGUUCCCUGAAAGGACAGAUUCCUUAGGUGGCCAAUCGCACCUAGAUAAAAAAGAUUGGUGACGACUCCCUAAAAGUCAAUGUCUAGCGAUAGAUCCCCGGAUCUAGACAUUAUGACAAAAUUUAUUAUAAAAAAAAAUCAAUCAAGACAAAAAAAAACUAAGAAAAAAAAACAAAAAUAUUAGGAAAAACAAAUUUUCAAAAAAAAAAACUAAAUAAAAAAAACUUUUAAAAACUUUUGAAUCGUUACUCGAACAAAAUUAUUGUCUAUGCCUUUACUCUAUUCUUGAUUCUUAGUUAUGUGUAAAAAGGGAUAGCUGUAGAUACUUAAUUUUAUCCAGGUUAAUUCAAAUUUGUUUAAUUUUUUAUGCUCAAUUUGCAUGUUCUCAUUUGAAUUAAUUGGAUUUGUUCAAACUUGUUCAAAAGUACUCAUUUUUUAUUAAAUUGUUAUUAUUAUUAUUUAAAAUUAAUCAAAUUAAUUGAAAAAUUACAAAAAAAUUAAUUAAUUAAUUAAAAUUAAAUUACAAAAAAGGCAGAAAAACAUAAUUAAACAACAAAUGGUAAUGGCCAGCAAUGUCAGGGGCUCUCCUACCCACUCCACACCACGAGCAACCAAAUCUCCAACUUGUUUUUCAGAGGCAACACUUGUGUUACUGUAAUAGGGUUCUAUGAUUGGCUCUGCAAGACAACAAAAAUUUCAUAGAUUAAAAACCAAAGGAAAAACAUAAAGAGGGGGGAGGUUCCAAUAUCCAUCUUUCCUCCAAGCGAUCAAUUUUCAUUAGUUUUUGUACCCAUAACCUGGCCAAUCUUCAGCAUGGGACCUCCAAGACUUGAUCACCUUUAUCAACUCUCCUAUGCACCCUUCUAGACCAUCAAUUAGUCUUGCCAACUUUAUAGCCCCAAAUCAUGCCAUACACAACAUCCCCCAAGCAUCUAGCCAUCUACACCUCAUGAGCACCUUCAUCCAACCCCAACCUCUUAAUCGACCUCGCCUAAACCUAAAAAACCACCUUUAUGGUACUAGCCUUCUAUGACCAUAAAACCAAGCACCAUUAACAACCUUGCCCACACCCUUCACCUGUGUAACAGCCCACCCUUGUCCCAGCCCUACCCAAUCCUAACCAACCCAACACUAGUCUCAACCAACCCCAACACCAUCAACAACCUUAACCCAGACCUCCAAUCUCCACCAAAAAAUGACCAAGAAGUCCCACAGUGGGUGCCAUCCCCUAAAACAUCUAAUACCACACCCAGUUGCUCACCACCUUGUGCUGCCCCAUCACAAACUCAUCCAUUACCAAAGUGGCUGAUUUUUUUUUUAAAAGUUGUUUUUAAGUUUUUUUUUUUUUUGUAAAAAGAGAAGAAAUGAAUUGAAAAAACAAAGUGGUUUAUAUAUAAGCAAAUAGGCCAAAAUGACAUCAUAUAAGACCCUCAGGGUCCGCAUGCCAACCCACGGGUUGACCCAAAACUCGCAUGCCCGACCCGUCAUAACUCCCUCAGCCACAACCUAAAGUGAUCCAAUUGAACCAAUAUCGAAUCGGGCUAAGCAGCUGAACCAUGUGAAAAUUGAUCCAAACCGCCCAUGAACUACCCAAACCACACAUAAACUGCCCAGACUACAUAAAUUGGCUGAAUCAUUAACUAAAUUGUUAACUGGUAUGGUUCAAUUUUUUUAUUUUAUUUUUUUAUUUUUUUAUUUAUUUAUUUUUUACUAUUAUUAUUUGUUUUAUACAUUUGUGUUCCAGAAUAAUUUUUUUAUUUUAUUUAUUUUAAAAAAAUAAUAAAGUUUAAAUUUUUAAUAAUUUUAAAUUCCAUAAAAAAUUUUAAAACAAAAUUUUUUCAUAAAAAAAUAAAAUUAACUAAAAUAAGAAUAAAAAUAAUUAAAAAUAAAGAAAGAAAAUUCUUAUCUGAUGAUGAGAUUUUAAGGUAUUCCGAAUAAUGAUGCCUACGAAAUCUCUAGGUAUGAAAAUUGUUUUUAAAUACUACCAACAUAUUGAAAUAAAAUUUUUGCUAAACUAAAAACUAUUAAUAAAAAUAAAAAUUAACUAAAAAUAAAUAAAAAUAACAAAAAAUUAUGGAAAAGAAAAUUUUGCCUAACAAUGGGAUGUUAAGAUAUUCCGAGUAGUGAUGUCUUAAAAAUCUCUAAGUGAAAAAAAAAUUUAAAAUACUACAAAUAUAUUAGAGUAUUUAUAAAAUUUUUUCAAUAUUAUAAAAACCUCUAUUUUCUUUUAAAAAUAAAUAAUAAUUAAAAAACUAAUAAAAUUUUAAAAAAUAAAAUAAAAUGUGUGCAUUAAUAUAUUAUCAUUUGUACUACAAGCAUGUCUUUAUUUUUAUGAAAAAUAAAUAUAAGCCUUCAAAGAUAAGAUUCUAACAUAUUUCAAGAAGUGAUGCCUAAAAAAUCUCUAGGUAAGGAAAAGUUUUUUUAAUGUCACCAACGUAUUAGAAUAUUUUAAGAAUUAUUUCAAUAAAAGGGUUUCAAUUUAUUUUUCUCGAAUAAAACAAAUAACAAAAAAAGAAAAAAAUUGAUAAAUAAAAAAAAUCAAGGAUUAUUUUUUUCAAACACCAAAACUAAUAUCGUUUUUGUCAAGAUUAAUGGAUAACAUGUAAUUAAUUGAUACCAUUUUAAAUGAGCACUUUGGGGAUGCUAAUCCUUCGCCAUGUGUAAUUGACUCCCUGACCCAAACUGUUUCAUAGAUCCUAAAAUUAUUUUUUUAAUAAAUUUUAAUUAAUUUUAAUAUUUUAUUAAAAUGAUAUGUUUUAAUAAGUGACCAAUCACAUUUAGGCAAAAAAGAAUGGUGACGACUCCUUUUUAUUUUCAAAUUCGUCUAGCAAUCCCCAAAAUCGUUAUGACACAUCUGAUUCCUUAUGGUAACCAAAUCCUCUAAAUUAUUUUAUGUAAGAUUCAAAUGCACUUUUUCUAGCAACUUUGAUACAAAACCAAUAGAUAAGCAAUCCUCUUUCUUUUGCUGAGUCUUCUUGGACCAUUCAUGCACUCAUUGUAUGAUUCACAUGGGGUACUUACAGAAGAAGAACAUAUCCAUAACACUGUGGGAUCCAUGAAAAGAAACUUUGCUAAAAGAUGUCUUGGAACAAAUACCUUACUAUAUUAUUAUAGUAUACCAAUAUAAUUUAUGCAACAGAAAUACAAGAAGAGAAACAAAAAUGAUAAGUUAGUAUAUAAAAAAAUGGAAAUAAUAAAUAGUAAUAAAAGCUUGAAAUAUGAAAAAGACAAAAAAAAAGUUUUCUCUUUAUAUUAUCUUUAGAAAAAGAAAAGGAAAUGAGACAAAGAUAUUAUUUUUGUUUUCAAGAAAUCAAAACAAAUAAGAAUACAUAAAUUUAUGAUUUGCUUUAGAAAAGUAUUAAAAUACAAAUAUUCCCUUACUUGUCCUAAUUUUCAGGGAUGAUUUACAAAUGGUGGACAUGGCUCUACCAAGGGUUAGCUCUUAUAGCUUAUUAUAUGCUUGGUUCGAAUUUUAUUGUGUCUAAAAAGCUCCCAAAUUACUCCUCACUGACAUUCAAUUUGGACUAGUAAAACACCUUGAUCCUCAUCUAUUAUAAGUUAUAAACAAAAAUUAUUCAAUUUGAGUUUUAAUUUGAGUGAAAGUAUUUUACUUGUCAUUGCGAAAGUUAUUAUCUCACGAGAAUAUAAAUACUUUACUCCCUCUUAAAAGGGUUAAAGUUCGGGUAUAGAGCUCAUGUAUGAUAUGAAUAUAUCAUGUGUGAUUGAGGGAACAGAGUAUUAUAAUCCUUAUUCUAAGUACCUCAUAAUAACUACAAUAACAUAUACAAACCAUAAAAUAAACAAGCAAAAAUAAAUAAAGUAAUAAAUGAAUCGUUAGAAUGAAAUGCAAAUUAUUAUUAUUAUUAUUAUUAUUAUUAUUAUUAUCAAUAUUAUAAAGAACAAAAUUAAGGAAAUUAAGGUUAGAUACUAAUUAAGACCGUUAAAUUGAAAUUAAAAAUAACACAUCAUUAACCUUUUGCCAUACUCUCUAAAAAAAUAACGUCUCUAAUAGAAUUGUCAGUUGUCAUAAUAGUUUUGGGGAUCACUAGAUGAAUUUGACAAACAAAAAAGAGUCGUUACUAAUUUUUUUUAGCUAAAUAUAAUUAGUCACUUAUUAAAACUUAUCUUUUUAAUAAAAAUUUUAAAAUUAAAUAAAACUUUAUCAAAAAAAUAAUUUUUUGGUUUACAAAAAAAUUUUGGUUUCAAAAUUGGUUAUGCAUAAGAAAAAAUUAACAUCCUUACUAUGCUCGUUAAAAAAAAUUAUUAAAUUAAUCAUUAAUUAUCUUUUAAUUUUGAUAUUUUAAAAAAUUAAUUUUUUUUUCUUUAUUGAGAAGGAACUACCUUUUUCUACCAAAUUUCCUUAAAAGCUGUGACCUUCCUUUCCUUCGAUCAAGUUCCAACCUUUCCUUCAAGCUUUUCUUUUCGUGUGCUUUUUUUUUUUUUUUUUUUUUUGCCGCCGAACCUCUCUUUGUCUUCCUUCUUUUUUUUUUCUUUUUGCCUUCUUUUCUAAGCACUUUCCCUUGUCACUUUUUUCGCUUCCUCUGGUUCCUUUUUUUUUUUGUUCUUAUAAUAUCUUCCUUUUUUUUUUUUGUUUUCUCCUUCCUGCAAACUCUCAUGUUUUUCUUUUUUCUUUUCCUCGCUUUCUCCUCCUCCUUCUUUCCUUUCUUUUUUUUCUUCUUUGAAUCGCCCUCCCCCUUUUUAAACUUCAAACCAGCAACCUCCCUAGCAGAAACUGCUGAAUGCCUCAUCCACUACUUGUACCAGCCCACUAACCGUUGUCGUUUUCUCUACAGGUUUUUUAUGUGCUAGUACCACAGACUUUUCCAUCUCUUUUGUGGCAAACCAGCUUACUUAUAGCUGGUUGUCUCCUAGUGUAUCAAAUUUCACGUGGUAAAAUGGGAUCCUUUUAUUUUAAAGCAUUGUUCACAUGGACUUUAAGCUUUCUAAUCAUGUCCAUUUCUUUUUAUUGUCUUGGGAUUUCAUUAAAAUGAGUUUUUCAUUCCUAUUUUUAUAAAAAGGGUCCAUGCUGAGUAGCUUAUGUUUUGAGUCAUUUUUAACGAUGCAAUUUGAGUUUCUUUUUUUUUAAUUCUUUUAUUAUUAUUUUUUUAAUUGACCUAAAAAUAGUCAUAUUAAAAUUCUUAUUCGACUUCUAAAUGGGCCUUUUAAAACGAACUAUGCAUAGGUAUUGAUUUGACAAUCAAUUAAGCAUGUAAUUAGACUCUUUUUCAGGUUUAAUGGGCCUUGAUUGGGCCCCAUUUUUUUAAUAAUUUUGCAAGUCAAAAAUCAAUCACUGUUAAAUCAUUAAUUUUAGUUUUUGUUUUAUACCUACAACACGGCUCAAAAUCAACAGUGUUAAAUUAUUUCAGAUAAAAUUAUAUUAUAAUCUAAAUUGAUAAAAUAAAAUUAGUAUUUAUAAUUAGUAAAACUAAGUGUUUGAGGGUUUAACUAAAUCACACAAAAAAUUUAAGAUUUGAUUAAUUAUAAUAAAAUAUCAAUGAUUUAAAUUAUUGUUGAAUUUUAUUUGAAAGUUUUUUUUUUUACCCUUAUGCCAUUUUUUUUAACUCAUGUACUAAAUUAAACGUUUUUCGACAGUUCUGGCGGGAGUUAUAGAUAAUAUUAUCUUUAUUUUAUUUUAUUUUUAGACAAAACAAAGUAUAACCACCCCCUACCCAAAAUUUAGGUGGCCAAGGCGCUUGAAUUUUUAGUGGUACGUCUCGAUGGAAAAUCUUGACAUGCAAUAGUCGUCUUUGUAAUUACUUCUCAAGUCCAACCCUGAAAGGAACUUAAUGGCAAUUUCCUCGACCAGGCACCUGAUUAGCCUUGGAGUUUCAUGCUUUUAUGAUUAAAUCCCAACUGACAACUGUAGACUGUAGUAUGGUUUUUCAAAGAAGGGGGUAAAUGUAAUCUAGGUCUCCCUUCUUUUUCACUUUAAAUGAUAUAAGAAAAUAAUGGAAAAGACAAACAAAAAUACGGUUUUAUGUAGGAUAGAUUCAAAACAAAAUUAUGUUAAUCAAGGAAAAAAAAAAGAGAUAGUAACAAAGUUGGACUUUGAGCUGUAGUGAUCCAAAUUCAAUUUCAGAUAGUUAAAAUAAAAAAAUAAAAAAAGGAAAGAGCGUCAACAUAUUUGUUGCAAACAACAGUUUCAUAGUCAAUAAAUCCCAUUCAGAUAUAACAAGUUCAAUAGUAGCUUUCAAUUCUGUUAACUCAGGCACUACAUUCCUUUCUUUUCUUCUUCAAAUUUGUUAAUGGAACCCAUUUGUUGCAUUUUUAUGAGUGAACAAGAGAUUGGAUUCAGUUACUGUAAGGCCUAAGACAUGAAGAGAGGAAUUUGGGGUCAGUCCACCGCUUGAGGUGAUGAACAGCAUUGUGUAUCUUCAACUGAUAUUUCAGUCGCAUCAUCGAUGGCAACAGGACUUAUUCCCCUUUCAACUUUCUGUCCGCCACCAUUUUUUAACAUCUCUCUUUCCAAGUGGAAGCAAUAGCUCUCGAAGACUCGGGAGCUAACUGUGACUCCAAAAUCCAAUAGGAAAAGUAGUUCUAGUUCUAGCCUGUUCAGUUCAGCAUUGCUCACUCCUCCGACCCGAGCAAAGAAGGCAUUGUUAUAAUGCCUGCAUUACCAACAACCAAAUAAAAUUUAAAAACAACAAGAACAAAAAUAGCUGUUACAUGAUUGUUUCAUUUGUCAUGGGAAACAGAAAAAGGGUUGUCAGUGUAGGGCAGGGGCAAAGGCACAAGCUAUGGCCCUUACAUCAUCUAUUUUUCACCUAAUUUUCUAUGUACAAAAAAUACAAUGAAUUUGAACCAAAACUCAUGCAUUUUUGUCUUUUCAUCCAUUAAUCCCAUUACUCCAAAGAGCCAGAAAAACUAAAACUUAAAGAAACCGCAUUUUAUCAGACAAUGAAAUGCUGCAUUUGUUAGUUGAAUCGCGUGACUAAGAUUAACCAACAUCAAAGAUAGCCCAUUUUUACUUCACAAAAAGAAGACAUAAGAAUUAGAGCAGCCCACUUUUCCUUCACAAAAAAGAAGACAUAAGAAUUAGAGCACUUACGCAUCAUCAAGAAUCUUAGAAGCAACCAUGACACUGGCAACCAGCAAUCUAUGCACAUUCAAGGAUAUGACGAGCGAGUCAGGAUGUUUAUGCGCAAGCCUGUCUAUAAAAACAUAUCCUACCACAAAGCAGGAAGGGCUACAAUUUGUGUACUUAUAUAUCCUCUCCAAGUACUUUGUUAUGCUUAUAUUUGGAGCCCUAACGCCAUCAAAGGCAUGCAAACUUUUCCCUAGCCAGGCAGAGCUACCAUUGAAGUUCAACCCAUCUAGCUGCUCCCUCAGGACCUCAACAAGCCUGUCGUUUCGGGCUACUAGCUUUUCUAGCACUGUAGAAAUUAUGGUCAGGACUCUUGGCGUUGUCGUCUCGGUAUCCGGCUGCCGGAUUUGGUGGGUGGGAUAGUCGUCAGUGGCUAACAUUUAAUCCAUUGUGAAGAAAAGUUUUGGAGACAUUUGGGUGGUUAAGAGCCAAUUGUUUGACUAGUGUUCAUAACAGAUGCUACAAAAGUUUGUGAUUGAUUUUUUAUGUGAAUAAGAAGAGGGAGUUUGUUUGGAUGGUGGAGAUGCCAGGCUCGUGGCUGGCUUCGAGUGAUUUUGAGCCGCUAGAUUUAACUUGGCUCCACGCGUGGAUAACAGAAGAUUGAGUUUACUUGGAUAGCAACAAUUCGUUCGAAUGCGUAGUGGACGCUAUCAUAUUGGCUCCCUUUCAAUUACUUCUUGUUGCGUAAUAAAAUUAAACCUAAUAAUUUAGACAAAGAUUCAAUGAUUAGAUAUAAAAAUUAUAUAAAAAAAUCAUAUAUGUAUUUAAUAAAAAUAUUUUUUUGUUUUUAUUCAUGUCAAUAAGAGUUUCGAUAUAACAUAAUUUGUAUUUUAUACGUAUUAAUACAUCUAAAUAUAUAAUACAAUAUGAAUAAUACAUUUGAUUUAAUCUUAUUAUAUGAAUAUACGUUUAAUAUGUUGAACAUAUUUUUUAUAUUUUAAUACAUUUUUAUAUUUAUUUUAAUUUAAUAUAAACAUAUAAUGAUUAUUUUAUUUUUUAAUCUUUUAAUUGUGAUACUUAAUUAGUUAUUUAAUAAUAUAUAAAAAUUAUUAAAAAUAUUUAAUUAUGAUAGUCAUUUAAUUAUUAUAAAUUAUUUUUUAUAAUAAUAAUAUAAAUAUAAUAUUAAUAUUAAUAUUAGUCUUAUACAUUAUUAUUUUAUUCUUUAAUCUUUCAUAAUUUAUCAUUACAAAUUUGAUACAAAAAAUUAAUAUAGUUAUGUAAUAUAUAUUAAAAUUUAAAUAUAUAUUAAAUACAUAUUAAAUGGGUAUUAAUUUUUUAUUUUUUAAUAUAUAUAAGUACUUUUUAUAUUAUUAAUAUGUCAAAUUUAUUAAGUGAUAAAUGAUAUAUAGUUUAUAAUUAUUUAUUACUUUAGUCAUAUACUUAUAUAUAUUCGUAUUAAUCGUGUCUAUUUGUAUAUAUCUGUAUUAAUCGUGUUUGUUUAUAUAUAUCCGAGUUAUUUAUGUUUAUUCGUGUUAUAUUUAAACAGAUUAAUUGUACACAUAUUAAUUGUAUCAUAUCACGUGUAAUUGUAUAAUAAAUGUUUCGUAUUCAUAAUUUUAAAAUUUAAAUAUAUUUUAUAAUUCUUACCAUGUUUAUUUUAAUAAUUAACUUCAUUACAUACGUCAAAUACAAUAUGAGACAUGAUACAAAAAUAAGAAUUAUUAAAUCUAAAUAAAAUUUAGAAGAUAACCCAUUGAAUUUUUUUUAAUGAGUUGCAAAUGAAAUUUUUUAAUAAUUAAAAAUUGUUAAUACGUUUAUUUUAAAAUUUGCUCAAUAAAAAAUAUUGAAUAAGAUAAAUAGAUAAAGAUUUACAUAUUACCUAAUACAAAAAAAAAUUCAAUAAUUUUUUUUUAUUUUAAACUACUAUCCUUUAAAAAUAUUAUUUUAUUAUCUACAACAAAAAUAAAGUAAAAUUAUAAAAUGAUAAAUUUUUAGAAUUUAACAUUUUAUCAUUUUUUUUAUUAUUUUGAUCUCUAAUCAUGGUUUUUGAGUAUAUUUUAUGUUGGUUAUCAACCUAUUACAACCUUCUUGCUUUAUUCAGGAUUGAGACUAGCAAUGUAGUAACCCAUAAGAAAAAAGAUAAUUAACAUAGUUAAAAAUAUGUAUGAAAAAAUUAUAACAAAUAUGAGGAUGAUUAUAAGAGUGACUAAUAACUUUCCCAAUACCUCAAAUUUGCAUCAAAGUUCAACACUAAGUUCUUUUUUUUUUUUUUUUUUGUACUAGUUAUAAAUGAGCUCAUUGAACAAAUCCAAAAUAAGAUAUCAUGGUGUAUGUUAUUUGCUUAUAAAUAUAAUCUUAGUUAUUGAAACUAGUGAUGAUUUCAAUACAAAAUUAAAACUAUUGAAGCAUAUAUUGGAUUCUCGAAACUUUAAAUUAAGUAUAUUUAAAACUGAAUAUAUAAAAUGUAAAUUUAAUAAUCAUAGGGAAGUGAAUGCUAACAUGAUUAAGUUGGAUGUUGAUAUAAUACCAAAAAGUACUCAUUUUUAAUAUUUAAGAUCAAUUAUUUAGAACGAUACUGAAAUAAAAAAUGAUGUAAAUUAUAGGAUUCAAAUAGAAUAGGUGAGAUGGCAAAGUGUUUGUGUAAUUACAACAUGCCUUUAAAAUUAAAGGUGAAGUUGUAUAAAAUAAUUGUAAAGCUUAGAUUGUUAUAUGAAAUUUAAUGUUUGAUCAUUAAGAAACAAUAUGAAAAGAAAAUAAGCAUAGCUGAAAUGAGAAUGCUUAGAUAAGUAUGUGGUAAUACUAGAAGAGACAAAAUUAGAAAUGAAAAAAUUCGAAAAAAAAUUAAAAGUAAUAUCAAUUAAGAAAAUAUAAGAAAAAGUCAUUUAAGAUGGUUUAGAUAUAUAAAACAUAAGUCUAUUUGUGCACCAAUUAAGAGGAGUGAGAUUUUAUAUUUAGGUAAAAUCAAAAUUUUUAAAGAGAAAUUGCGAUAGAGGUGGAUGCAAGUAAUUAAAAAUAAUAUGAGUUAAGAAGUAGAUAAAAAGGUUGUUGUUGAUAAAAAUAUGUGGCAUAUGAAAAUUUAAAAUUAUGAUUUAACAUGAUUCUUUUUUUGACCUUUCAUAUAACCAGCUCUAAAGUUAUGUGAUAUCAAAUUUAAUGUGUUUUUGCAAUAUUUUACCUUUUUUAUCUAAUGAUAUAUUUAUACAUAGCAUUCAAUUUUUAAUAAAAUACCAAAUAAUUUUGAUAGUUAAUACUUAUUAAGUUCAGUAUUAAUUUAGUACUUAAUUUUUUAAUUUGUCAAAUAUAAAUUUUUACUUUUUAUUGAUGUUAUUACGUGGCAUUUACAGCAUCUGGACUUUAUUCUUGUGCUAUCUAGACAUGCUUAAGAACUGGUUGUCUCCAAAGAUGACUGUUAGAUUAAAUCUUGCUCCAACUGAGAAGAGUACAUCGUGAAGGCUUUGAAAAGUGGCAUUACAGACUGGCCGCAGUGGCAGGACAUAGGAGUUUGCAACAUCGAUCUGGGUAGUUAAAGCUGCAAUUUGUUACCAUCAAUGGUUGCGGCGACAGUGCUGCUCUUUCCUUUCUAAAUUGGCGGUUGUGGAGCUGGGACCUUCCCACACGAGUUCAGCAUAUAUAUGAUACUUUCACAAUCAUAUAAAACGAAAACCAUGGGAAAUCCAGCAGUAACUUAUAUUAACUUUUUUUUUUUUUUCAUUUGAUGCAUGAAUGGAUGAGGAUCUCUCCAGUCCAACUCUUCAAUAUGCAAUCAGCAGACAAGCUUCCUAACAUAUUUUCAAAACGAAAAAAAAAAUGUUGACUCCUCUAAGAGUCGAAGAUAUCUCCGAAUAAGUAUGAACGUAUUAAUAAAAGAAUUUUGAUAUGAUCAUAUAUAUAAUUCAAAAAUGAAUGAUUAAAACCUUUCUUUGGCAGAAAAUAUGGAGGUUAUCAAUCAUGAUGAUAGAUAAACCCCCCAUGAAGCUGUUAUCAAAGAUAAAAUCAUUCGGCAAUCUAUACAUCGUGGUCAUUAGAAGAAAGUAAUUUCACUUCCUCAUUGGUUGGAUCAUUCAUGGAGAGCUGAAUAUUUGACCUGGAGUUCAUUUUAUUCCACUCAUUCUCUACACGGAAGAAAAUCCAUUGGAAACGGCGGAAAAUCUCCAAAGCAGCAAUGGUAAACACCGUAAGGUAAUUGUGACGGAGAUGAGCUGACAGUUUGUACGUCCAUGUGCAUCGUAGGAUCAAGUUGCUUCCUAUCACCCAAAAGUAAACCUGCAAAUCAAUUCCACAGACACAUGAGAUAAUUGAGUGAGCGCCAAUGGUCCACUAAGUACACCAGAAAAGUUAACUGGUCAUGGAAGGUAAGAACAAGUUUCUUAUGGAGUUUGCUUAUAUUUUAGAUAUGAAGUUGCAUGUAAAAAUUGACCAAUUAGUUAGGACACAUGAAUUCUCCAAUUCGGCCAGUUUAUACCAUUGCUGAUGCUUAAAGUUCAAGUGUUGAACUAAUCAAAUUUCUUAAAUUGUUGAAGCAGAUAAGUAUAAAAGCAUUGCUCUGACUUUGGUGCUUUAAUAUGAUAGGAAUAGCUUACCCAUGUUCGUCCAUGUAACAGGCGUGAGUAGAGAUGUGAUUUAUUGAACUUGAAAGUUCGAGUGAAGCCACUAGCAGGAAAGAAAAAAUAUUAAUAGCCACAUCACUAGGAUGAUUUAUAAUUUAUAAACUGAUUAUGAAAGUUUAAAGGGUAUUUUACACACCUCAAAUCCCAAUCUCGUGUCACAUCCCAAUAAAAUGAAUAUAACGAGUUCAAGACACUUGAAAGAAGCCAGAGAGGCCGAUAAAAAUUAGUCCAACUAUCAUGUAAGACAUGGUAUUUAAGGGCUGAAAGAAAAAUCACAGGUACUGCCGUUGAAUACUUUAAUGCUGAAACCAUAAGCAAAAAAAAAAACUUAUUAUGAUCCUGAAACAACAAAAUCAUAUGCAAUGCAGAUAACUAUGAGAUCCUUUCCGUUUUUCCCUCAGGUAGGGUGUCAUAGUUUCAGGUACAAUUUCACUACCAAUUAAGAUUCCAACUGCUACAAACUUGGAAGAAAUUGAAAUCCAUGACAACCUAAUGCUUGUAAAAAUUUCUGACCUAAAAACACACUAGUCAAACUUGAUAUUAUAAUUUUUCACUGUUGAAGAUGUUCUGCAGGUCCAGAUUCUGGAUUCCAGUUUAAAUUAUUUUGUCGAUGAAAUGAUGCACAAAACAAAAGGUAUUGUGGAAAAAUACUUAUUUAUAACUAGUUGUAAUUUUGUAAUCUGUAUAUUUAUAUUUGUAUCUCUAAAAUUAAAUAUUUGUAUCCUUAGAAUUAAGGACAAAAAAUUAAGAUAGACAAUCCUUCAUUUAUAGGAUCAGUUUUAGGAAGAUUUAGUUUCCUAAUUUACCCACUAGUUAGUUAUAUAUAAACUUAAGGUAUUUGUAUAAUUAUGUAUGAGCAGUUUUUCAAUAUACAUUCAGUUUUACUCUUAGUUUUUCACACAAUUUUAUUUCUUAGUUUUUCCACAAGUAUCAAGGUUGAAACAAACAUAAAUUCAAGACUUUCAUUACCUAAUUCCAUCUAACAUUUUUUUGCUGAUUUGCAAAGCAGGGAGCUAGCCCACAAUUACCAGGAGCACAUAUUAUCACCACAUGCAGCUCAAGUGCAUUUUAAAUUCAUGUUGACUUGACAGAACCACAACCAACACAUUCAUUACCCCACCCAAAAACAUGCAAAAGUCAAAACUAAAAGCAAAAUGAUAUAGGGAGGAAGGCAGGUGGUGAAGGAGGAAAACAUUAAUAUUUAGAAAGUUAGUAAGAGAUGCACCAUUUAAAAGUGUUGAUCUUUCACUAGUAUCCUUGUAUUGUCGAAGACAUUGGAAAAACCGAAAAAGGUAAGGCAAAACAAGAACCAAAGGGAUUGCAAUGGAGUGACUGCCACAAACAGAAUCAGCUUCAAACCAUGCAAUAGUGGCAACCUGCAUGAGUAAGAAAUCUCUCUCAAAAAUACAGAAGGAAAACCUUGUGAGUUUUCGCAGACAACAUCCAAGUCAAGUAAGAAUAUUACAAUAAUAAUAUUUUCAAGCUUCCUUCCUCAAGGUUUAUAAACAAAAAUGUUCUUGUUUUCGUUUUUUUUUUUUUUUUUUAAAGAAGAGAAAAGGAUAAUUCUGGUUGUUUCCACACUUCAACUCCAUGCCUCAUUAAACCAAAGCAACCACGUACAAAUCCAAAACCAUUUGAACACGGAUAUUGAGAAAGCCACAUGAUAAAUCAACAUGAUUAGAUGAAACAUAUUUCUAUCAAAGGACUAUCUAGCAUGAAACUACCUAUUUAGCUGAAAAACAUAGUAAAAUUUAAUAUGAAUUCCUCUUACUGUACUCUUCACGUCUAUCAGACCCUACAGGACAGUGGAGCAUCAUUUUGAUGGCAUUACCAUCCACUGUCCCAAUAAAUCUCAUGGAACUAGUAUGUUUAAGAACCAAAAAAGCUGUACCCUACAUUACAGCUAGUUUCUCUCAGCUAGUACCAAGGAUAAGAUGGAGCCAGAGUGGUUGAACUUCAAAAAACCAACAAAUUAAAGAACCACAAAAAUCUUAUCAAAGUCAGACCAAAAGGAAUAUCAGGCAUAUUUUUGUCCAUGUCAAGUGAAGUGAUGGUUACGAAGUCACCAUGAUUUUAAAGGCUCCCCUAUCCGUAACAUUCAUUAAUAUGAAUGACUGAAGCAGCAGUCAAUGUUUAAAACAAAUAGACAAACCUGUCGAUGGACCAUUCUACAAAUGGAACGUUCCAAAUCAGAAAAAACCUGCACAAAGUUUAAAACCAUUAAAUAUCUAGAAGCAGAAAUAAAAAGUAUUUGCUAACCAUCCUUGCUAUACACCAGUAUUCAUGUUUCACAUUAAGAAGUCAUUAAUCCAUAUGUACAACAAAAAACCAUUAAACAGUUACUCCUGAAGCACUAAUUAUAAGGGCACAAAAAUAAAUGGCAUGAAAUCAAUUUCAAUGGGGCAGUCAUCAUCUUAUUGGAAUACAACUAUUACAACAACCAUAACAACAAAUCAAGCCUUGUCUCACUACAAGCGGGUCAGCUACAUGGAUCAUAUUGCACCGAUUUGCUCAUUUUUUAAGUUACAUCUUCAGCAACCUAGUUCAUGCCACAAGCCUCAAUUAGGUGCAAUUUCACCAAGCUUUCAGUAGGGUCUCUUUCUCUAUGUUAGAGGGUCUCUAGCUCUAAGCAUUUGAAAAUUUGUUGAGUAGAACACAUACCUUUGCCAUAGAGGUCAAAAUAUCAGCCAAGAAAAAGUCGGAAAAAGUUAUUGCCUGCAUUCACCAUAACAAUUAAAUACAACAUAUCCACAUAAUAUAAAAGCAAGAAAUAAAAUAUAAAAAAGAAUGUGCCCCUCUUUUUUGUGAGGUUUGGAUGAGCAUGGCCAAACAUAGAAGAUUGUUAGUUCAUGGUCUGCAUACAUGCAGCCACUACAACAAGAAUAUAAGUUCCUAUAGUACAAGGAUUAGGAUAGUUCACACGUAAAAUUCUAGUUGCAUCAUGUACUAAUAGGUUAAACAUUAUCAGGAACCACAAGAUUAGUGCAGCCAAAGAUCAUCAACCAAGUUGAAAAACAAGACCCUUUUGCGUAAGUUCUUGGAAGAGUUAAAGUUGCAGACAUAGAUUUACACUAAAGUAUGUCAUGCACCUUUUCUUUGAUCAAAGAAAAGAACAUGAAGCAAAAAUCAAUUGAACUUCAAGACAAAUAAAUUCUGACUUGCUUAUCAGUUUUAAAAACUUCCAUACAAGUUAGAUACCUACUUGCUAUCUAUUAUUCAGAAGAACUUGACAUGACUAAUAACUUCCUUUGCAAAAGAGAUAUGCAACAUAAUGGACAAGUUAACAGAUUACUUGCUAGGCUUCUUAUAUUUUGACAGGUAAAUCUAAUGGACAAGUUGAUGGAUAAGAAAGAUAUUUAUUGAGCUUAUAGUUUGAAAUUUCAUGACUCAUGAGAAUAUAACAGAUUGAUAAGUUACUGAUGGUAUGAAAAUUAUCAGAUAUGUCCAUAGAGAUAACAGGCACACCUGUAGUGGAAUAAUUAUCCGCCAAAGAGUCCUUAGCAAGUAGUAACGGGAUGAAAAAUAAAAGAUGUCAAAAGGGAAUAUCAGAAUCAUCACAACUGCAAAAUAUAAAAGCACCUGCAGUAGAAAACAUGUAAAAUUUAGUGAUGUGCAGAAAUGGUAAGGAGUAAGUGUGCCUAGAACAUCUCUUAAGAACGUGCUUUGGUGGAACUGUAACUGGGAAAUCAGGAAUGACCCUUCAGAAUGAGGAUAGGUUUUGUUUGUAGGCUUAUCCUAUAUUAAUCAGUAACAGAACCAUGAAGAAAGUGCUGCAAUUUGUUCUUCACGUUGAAGAUGUUGAAACUAUAAUCAGCUUAUCAGUCAUGCAAGGAGCAAAAGAAUUAGCAUAUAAUAAUACACAUAGGAGAGGAUGCAUCUAUUACACUGGUUGAGAGGCAGCCAAUGAUACUUCUCCAUGAGAAUAAAGAUAAAGAUAUGCUGUCAUACUAGUAGGAACAAUGAUGGUCAUCCAUGUAGCACACUGCAGUUACAACAAUUGUAGAGAGUUAUUUGGGGAAACUUACCAAGUACUAUUAUUAACAAUAGCAAUUGGGCUCUAUGUAGAUUGUAGACAUUUCAAGCUAAAAAUAAAAACUAUAUAAAUAAAAAAAGAAAAUGAAACUAUUCCUUCAAAAGUAAAAUGAUCCUCUCUGUCUCUCUCACACACACAUACAGAAAUCAAAGCUAAAAAUGAAAACUAUAAAUGGCUCCAUCAAAAUAAUAAAUCAGCUACACAUACGUCAAAUGUACUGAAAUCCUAUUAAAGAAGCAGGGAUUUGGGACCAAGAUAAAUUUCACUAGUAUAUCAGAAAUAAACUGCAUUAGUUGUCAGCUACAUCGUAUAUCACUUGAAACACAAGGCAAGCAACUACAGUUUAUCCAUAAAGUGAUACUAGCAUACGAGAGGGUGAACAGCACACAGCAGACAACUUCUAAUCAAAACAACAUCUAACAGAUGUUAAAUAGUACACACUUCAAACACAAGGCGAGCAAAUAUAAUUUAUCCAUAAAAUGAUACCAGCAUACAAGAGGGUGAUCAGCAUGUAGCAGAAAACUUCUGAUCAAAACAACAUCUACAGCUAGUUGGAAAAUUCAAUUACCUUCCAUAUUUCUCUAUGAGUGAGAUGAUUCUGAUGAAGAUCAAAAAUUUUGGCAUAAUUGACAUUAGACUGAGAAAACACCCAUAAAUUGAUUCCCCAAAGCCAUACCAUUGUAGUCUGCAAUAUCAAAACCAGAAGAAAAAUCUCUUAUCAUGCAGGGUUCUUUUACACAACACACACACACAUUCAAAUUGGAUAAAGAAGAGUUAGAUUAACAUAACAUAUUCUCUUUUAGAAAAUCUUACUAACCACAAGAAGAAGAGGAUUAUAAUACAAAAAUGCCUCAUAUAGAAAUAGGUCUCGUAAGUCCACACUCAUUCUCAUUACAGAAUGCCAUCCAAUCUGCAAUGUUUUGACAUACACAAUGAGAACUUGUAAGCAACAUGAACAAAUCUUAUAGUCCUUUGAUAUUACUUCUAUUAACAUCAAAUUUGAACUUUAUAGCUUGAAAUAAGUAUUAUAUAAAAUAAGACUAACCUUGCUACAGAUGAAACCCCAGACCAAGAACAACAGAACCUGGAUAUCUAAAUAGAUCAGGAUUCUAGAAAGUUGAGAAAUUAUAGAUAAAAAAGGGGAAAACAAUGUGGAGGAAACUUUUUUAACACAUACCAUAAAGAUGCAGCUACUUUUCCAUUUUGUAACUAAAGUAAUGACAAAAAUUGAAUUCAAAUCAUGGAAUGCAUUUUUCUUUGAAUUUAACCACUCUACAUUUAUUAAACAAAUGAAAAGACCAAAAAAGAAGGAAACUAAAUGGAUAAUUAACAGAAAGCAUAUAAUUGAAAACAAACCUUGAGUCUCCAUAAUAAUAUAGGUGAUGGCACUAUUGCAACAGUAACCAUUGGUAUAGUUGCAUUCUUCAAUCCAUUUACCUCUAUGGGAUGAAAGUGACUAUUCUCAACACCAUUUCCCAAUUCGUCACCUAACAAAUAUUCUACAAAUAUUAGGUCUACGAAGCAUAAUUAAAUAACAACAGCCUUUAAUUCCAAGAGUCAUGUGCUUAUAAUUCUUGUACCAAUAUCAGAUACAACAACUCUGCUACCAGACUUUCUCAAAUGCGGGCUAUUGAUAGGAGCUGCCACCGGACCUCCAAACAUAGAUGUAUCUAGAAGAUGGUAAAGCUAUUAGCACCACUCCGGCUACACUACUAACCUGCAACACAUAAUAUUGAAUAGAAAUAUGGAAGAAAAUAACAGCAUAUGGAUAAGCAUAUCUUAUAUAAUCGGUAGGCACGAGCAUGUCAUUUAACAAGCUUAUAUCUAAGUUCAGUGCUGACAUUUCUUCCAAGAAUGAGUUAACCAGACAUUCUUAGGGUGAGAUGGUCAUUUAGAAAAAAUGGGUUAGUUAAUGCAACAGCAUAGCAAAUUUAGACAACAUUACAAAGUAAAAACAGACAUACAUUAAUUUAGUAAACCUUAAUCCUACUGUUGAUCACCCAACAUUGUAAGCCAACCACAUAACAUCCAAUUAUAUAAUUAACCUUACAUGCUUACAUGCAUAGAGUCCAAAGAGAAUCAAGAAAAAGAAAAGAAAAAUAAAAUCCAUACAUAAAAGUUUAGCCUUACCUAUCAAAGUUCCCGGCAAUGAUGUCCCCGAUAAGAGAGCUUGGCGCUGCCCAAUAUCUAAAGAAACGAAAACAAAUGGAAAACUAAGGAAUUUCCAGUUCCUAUAAAACAGGAAGAAUUUGUUUCGGGUGAAGAUAUCAACUGCCACAAUUUUCUGGGAAAGUUUUUUUUUUGGAACCCUGAUCAGAACAGAAUUAUACUUAAAAAGAAAAAGUGUCGACAGAUAAUAAUGCUUCGAAUACUGCGAUAGAUUGAAAUUCCGACUUCCUUUUAUGGAUCUCAAAACAACCUGAAUUUUUGGGCUGCUUGAAUGAAUUAUAAGGAAACGGAGCCAAAGGGUGAUUAAAUUGCUUUUGCAGGACCUGAUUACAAUGUAAAAGCAAGUGCGGGGUUGGAUUUCGGAUUCAAGGUAAAACAUAAAGGCGUGUUUGGUUCGCUUUCAUAAACGUGUUUUCGGGACCCGGCUGAUGAAAUUGUGAAAAUGAGAAAUGUUAAAU